rnacentral:rRNA from 1 species
UACGUAGGGUGCGAGCGUUGUCCGGAAUUAUUGGGCGUAAAGAGCUCGUAGGCGGUCUGUCGCGUCGAAUGUGAAAACCCGGGGCUCAACUCCGGGCUUGCAUUCGAUACGGGCAGGCUAGAGUUCGGUAGGGGAGUCUGGAAUUCCUGGUGUAGCGGUGGAAUGCGCAGAUAUCAGGAGGAACACCGGUGGCGAAGGCGGGUCUCUGGGCAGUAACUGACGCUGAGGAGCGAAAGCGUGGGGAGCGAACAGG